rnacentral:rRNA from 1 species
AUACGGAGGGUGCAAGCGUUAUCCGGAUUUAUUGGGUUUAAAGGGUCCGUAGGCGGGCCGAUAAGUCAGUGGUGAAAUCUCAUAGCUUAACUAUGAAACUGCCAUUGAUACUGUCGGUCUUGAGUAAAUUAGAGGUAGCUGGAAUAAGUAGUGUAGCGGUGAAAUGCAUAGAUAUUACUUAGAACACCAAUUGCGAAGGCAGGUUACCAUGAUUUAACUGACGCUGAGGGACGAAAGCGUGGGGAGCGAACAGGAUUAGAUACCCUGGUAGUCCACGCCGUAAACGAUGCUAACUCGUUUUUGGGGCGCAAGCUUCAGAGACCAAGCGAAAGUGAUAAGUUAGCCACCUGGGGAGUACGUUCGCAAGAAUGAA